AAGUGUUAAGCUCUUUUAGAAUUUGUCUAGCAGUCUCUCCGGUCUGCACCAGAAAGCCCCC
rnacentral:snRNA from 1 species